AUUCCCGAAGAUUUUUACCACCACUUUUACAGAAAAUCAUGAAUGGAAACUGAAUUGUUAAAGAAGAUGUUACAGAGGAGCAUACUACUUCCACAAACCUGAUUUGAUUGUCACUAACUUUCAAAUUGAAAGGGAUCUACUACAACUGCUCAUGAAUUUUGAGAUUUUACAGCUAAUAGAGGAACAAAUUUUAUCUGCUUCCACUUAGCCAAACAGCAUGGAAAUAUGCUAUUGUAAUGAGUAGAAGAUAUUUGUCAUUUAGAGUAUUAUGCAACAGCUAAUUAUCAGUCCACACAUUUCAAGAUGAGGAAAAGAACAUUAUACGCUACAUUCAUUGAUGCAUUAUUUAUACAAAAAUGUAUAGUCAACCCAGUCAUCACUCCAUUUUUUUAUGAAGCCAGUUACAGUUACCAUGAAGGGAUGAAAUUUCAGAUAAUAUUCUGUUUAUUUUAUGAAAUGAGAAUAGGCCUACAUCAGAAAUUGAAAUGGUCAUCUUCAGUAUUUAAUGUUUCAUCUAAAAAUGAUAAUUAUAUUAAUACAUAUUUGAUGUACAAACAAAUGAAAACCAUUCAAACACUUUUUUUUUGUGAAGUAUAGAUGAUUAAACUUGUAAGUGUCUGAACAAUA